AUAUGCAGUACGCAGCAGGAACCAGGAAAGGGUGAUAAAAUUACGAAAAUACCCCAAAACGUACGAUCAGAGCGUGUAGGGCUAAACGGUCUCUACCGACUACCAAUCAACACCAAAUUCCUCCCCUCGGUCGGAAACUCUUGUUAGAAGAACGUUUAUAAGGCGUAAACAUCUCUCGUUGAUUCCUUUUCUAUUUCUCUCUCUCUUUUUUCCCUCUCCCUUUGCAAUCGGAUUUCCUAAGAGAAGCAGAUUGGACGCCAUUGAAAACUGCGUAAGUUCAUCCGUUUACUCAAUUUCGUCAUCGCGGCAGGGAGUCUGGCUAAUGCCAUUCUAGGUGUGUUAUCUGGCCAUUGGAAUUCCUCUUGAAUGCAACGGGAGUAUCUUGUUUUGCUCGAUUGAACAUGCUGUGAGCUAGCGGAACCGGGAUUUGAUUGAAGGAGAUUGAUACACACAUUACACUUGUUUCGGGUUAAUCACGUUGUAGUCUUCUAUCUCGUCACUCUAUGCAAUUUUCGGGUUAUGGGUGUCGAUUGGUUUUCGUUGUCGACAAGAUAGAUGGGUUCAUGUGACGACCCGGCUGUGAUCGGGGAACCGUUUCGAGGCUCUGUUACUCAGUUGGUCCGCUGUUCGAGUCAACCUCUUCCCAAGCAGCAGUCUCGUCAGAAGAUGACUUCCUGUCCAUCUAAUUAUAGUGAGGGUCAGAUGUUUGAAUCAGAUAGGGGACUGGGAGCGCUAGCGACUAAUAUCUGCACGAAUUCAUCAGAGCCAGCUGCUGCUGGGGAGGAUGGGACAUUCAGAGGCUCCGAACAUGCAGAUACUUUAAUAUUGGAUGAAAGGUUGGAUAGUGAUUCCGGCGUCAGUGAUCCCUUUCUAAACGAGGAGAAUGACGCUUGCAACUUGGAGAAUAGAACAUUGAGCUUGGAUACGAAAGAGUCUCAAGAUGUCGAUGGUAUAGUUGGUAUCUCAGGCUGUAGAACGACCAUGGAUAUGGUGUCCUUGACUGGGUCAUCGGCAAACUGUGUCAAGCCUGAUGAACUGGAUGAUAAUAGUUGUGUAAUUGCUGAGUCUUCAAAAGUUGAAAGAGAUGACACUGUAGACGAUAGUCCAAUUUUAGAACAAAUGGGUACUUGUACAGAUGACUUAAAAUCUCCUUCUCAUGUCAGUGAAAUUGUUUCUAAUUUAGCUUCUGCCAAUGGAUUUCCAAGUGAUUUCAUACAGAUACAACAAAACAAGCCGGAUAAUGAUGGUGCUGGUUGUUCAUUUUCAGAUUCUGUGGACAGGAUAACGGAUGCUUCAGUUGAAAUAGUAGCAGACAUGUUGAAUGAGAUGUCCCCUUUACAGAGUGAUCAAAUACUAUCAAUACAUGUAGGACAAUCAGUUGCGAAUUAUGACCAGUAUAUUUGCCAGAUGGAUGGAAAGAGCUUAAGUGGUACCUCUGGAGAAACAGUUACUGAAGUAGCUGAUAUGAACAGCAAUCCUGAAUCGUGCUUGCAAGUGUUGCCUUCACAAGGCUGCCAGAGGAUCAGGGAAUACCUGCAAUCUGAUGGUUCACUAACCAUCCACUCUCCAGAGAACGAUGGAUGCGAUGAAAAUCAUGUCAGUAAUUCUUCAAAGUACAUUCCAAAGGUCGUGGAAGAAGAUAUUGAUAUUUUGACUUAUGAUAAUGGUGAUGCUAGAGAACAUAUAGUUCACAAGAUUGAAAAUGACUGCAAUCUGGAGGAAGCUAUUUUUCGAGUGAACCCCAAUUGUGUUGAGCUACUAGCUUUGCCCUUGCCUUCUCAGCCCCCUGAUUUUGGAAAAGAUGGAUUUUAUGAGAUGUUGAGUGCAGAAGAUAUUCUAAUAAAGGAUAUUAGUUCUGUUAAUUCUUGCGAUGUUGGUUGUCAAGACAACAAUGACAUAGAGAAAGUUGGCUGUGUUUCUGAAGUGAAAUGUCCCGAAACAGUUGUCCUGUCUUCUAAGAGGAGUGGCCGAAGGAGAGCAUCAAGCCAAAAAAGUUUGACAAAAAGGGCACUUAGGAAAAGCAAAAAAAAAUUGCCUCAGCCACUGAUUUUUGACACUUCAAGAAAGAGGAGGAGCUCUAUAUCUAGGCCUGCUCGUCCUUCUCCUUGGGGAUCACUGGGCUAUAUUAUUCAGUCAUUUGAAAAAAGUGACAAUGAUCUAGUAAAUCAAAGCCAGAAACAAGGAAAUAAGAAAUCUAAAGGUAAUCAAGGAGGUACCAAGCGGAAUAAGAAACAGGCAAGUGAUAGUUCACAUAGAUCAAGAAAAGGGACCCAAGGAAAAUGUGCUACUUCAACCAAUUGUAUUCGUUUGAAGGUUAAAUUAGGGAAGAAUUCGGGUCAUAAUUUUCUGAACAUUAUGGUUCCAGAGGUUGCUGAUUCAUCAUUGUCUGCCAAGGGUAUCAGUUGCAAUUAUGGGAAUGAAUCAUAUUGGGAAGGUAAUUUGGAAUUUCCUCGAUUAACCCAUGGUGUUGACGAUCAAAAGCCCGAAGAGGGGCCUUUAAGAAAAAUCUUUUGCUAUAAUAGGAAUCAGGAGAAAGAAGAGAUAUGUCCUGAUGGUUCUGUUGUGAAGGAACAAUGUGUUAAUAAUGACUCAAGUUUCACCGUUAUUGCGGAAAAGUCAUCUGAAAAACACGCAGAUGAUAAUCAUUGCAUUUCCUCUCAUUUGGUUGAGCCAGUAGAAAGGGCAGGUGAUACAAGGAGUUUGGAUCCUGGAACUUCACCUGAUUCAGAAGUGAUAAAUUCAAUUUUAGAUAUUCAAGUUGGAGCAAUGCGACAAGAAACUUUGCAGGACUCAGUUUUGGCAUCCUCAGAAGAUUUUGCAGCUUCCGGAAAUGUUACCAGUAGUAAGAAAGGAAGGAAGAAGUCAAAGUCCAAUCAGGUAGUUAGUUGUUCUCAGGAGGGUGGCUCGAGUGCUCCUCCUUGCAGAAAUAGGUCCAAAUCGUCAAAGAAGCAUGGAAGAAGACGGAAUGUGGAAAAUCAGCUUGGUUCCAGUGAGACAUUUACUUCCACUGGUGCAAAUGUUUUAAACUACUCUUUAAAUAGUAAGGAAUUGUCUAUGGAGCAAGUGCCUUUGUCGACGGAGAUUGCAUUCCCAGAAGAGGCUUUGAAGGCAGAUGGGAUUCUCAAAGUUAAAGAAUGUAGCAAAAUAGAUGUUGGCGGUGUGUUUUCUGAAUCAGAGAAUUCAAAAACAUUGUUUCCUACUCAAUCUGCAAGGAAGAAACAUCCUAAAAUUUCUAAAUCUGUUAAAACAAGCAAAGGCAAGUACAAGGCUCCUGGCUCAAGAAACAACAUAAAGAAUGCUUCUAAAGAGAAGGUUUACCAACGGAAGUCUGUUAAUAAGAGUAAAAUCAAGAAGGCUAUAUGUGACCAAGCUGUGACUGGAAUGGAAAGUCACCAAGUAGCAGGAAAUUGCCUUGUAGACAAGCCUGAUAAAAGCGAUGACAUCAUUGCAUCCACAGUGGCAGUGAAUUUGAAUUCUGUACAAGGUGCUGUGAGUGAGCAGUAUACACCCCCUCGUGAUGCUUGGGUGCUCUGUGAUGAUUGUCAUAAAUGGCGACGCAUACCAGCUUCUCUUGUUGAUAGUUUAGGACAUGCAAGUUGCACAUGGACCUGUAAGGACAAUGUGGAUAAAGCUUUUGCUGAUUGCUCAAUCCCACAAGAGAAGUCAAAUUCUGAGAUUAAUGCAGAGUUAGAGAUAUCAGAUGAAUCUGGGGAAGAAAAUGCUUCCAAUAAACGGCUAACUUAUAGGGAAUUAGGGAGUUUUCAUCCAACAACAGUGAAUGCAGUUCCCCAAGAGAACAAAUUUGCUUCCAUUAGCAGCAAUCAGUUUUUGCACCGUAGUCGUAAAACUCAGACUAUUGAUGAGAUAAUGGUUUGUCAUUGCAAACCAGCUUUGGAUGGUCGAUUAGGUUGUGGGGAUGAAUGCUUGAAUAGAAUGCUCAACAUUGAAUGUGUUCGAGGUACAUGUCCUUGUGGAGACCUUUGUUCUAAUCAACAGUUCCAGAAACGCAAGUAUGCCAAAUUACGGUGGGUGCGAUGUGGAAAGAAGGGUUAUGGGCUACAGUUGCUUGACAAUAUAUCAAAAGGGCAAUUUCUCAUUGAGUAUGUUGGAGAGGUCCUUGAUAUGCAUGCUUAUGAGGCACGUCAAAAGGAUUAUGCAUUGAAUGGUCAUCGACAUUUCUACUUCAUGACACUAAAUGGCAGUGAGGUAAUAGAUGCAUGUGGAAAGGGGAAUUUGGGGCGUUUCAUUAACCACAGUUGUGAUCCAAAUUGUCGCACAGAGAAGUGGAUGGUGAAUGGAGAAAUUUGCAUUGGGCUCUUUGCACUAAGGGAUAUUAAGAAGGGUGAAGAGGUGACAUUUGACUACAAUUAUGUAAGGGUAUUUGGGGCCGCUGCCAAAAAAUGUUAUUGUGGUUCUUCCCAAUGUCGAGGUUAUAUAGGUGGAGAUCCCCUCAAUUCUGAAGUCAUUAUUCAGAGUGAUUCAGACGAAGAAUUUCCAGAACCAGUAAUGCUUCGUGCAUAUGGCAGAAGUUUGAAUAAUAACUUGCCAACUGUAGUUCGUUCAUCAGAUGGUGCUGAAACGCAACCCUCAGAGAGUAUGACAGCGGUUAAGGAUAAGAUCGAUCAGCCUAGUAGUAUUGCUAUCAUCGAACCGAAGAUUUCAGAAGAAAAAGAAGAUCCUCCUAGCCUUUCUGCCUCUACUGUUUCACCAUUGCAUAGUUCAUUGGAAUUUGAAGACUCGAAGGUUGUAUCACCUGCUACACUUUUGCCAGAAACUACCCAACAUACUGAAGAUGUGACAAGCAAAGCCGUGUUUGUUGAUCAGACAGAAAUAUCUCCUGUAGGCAAUACUUCUAACAAGAACACAUGCUCUAUUGAGUCGGUGGCAAAGUCGCUAUUUGAUGACAUUGAUGCUCGUAAGAAGUCCAAGCUGGAUGCAGGUGAAGAUAAGCAAGUACAUUUAAAGCCAUAUCCUUGCAUGAAAACUUCACGAAAACCAGGUUCCAUUAAGAAAGGAAAAGUUAGCUCUGUAGAAAAAGUUCAAAUGACUAACAAGCCCCAGAUUUCGUCUUUCAAGCCAAAACGAUUGAUUGAAGGUUCUCCUAGCAACCGCUUUGAAGCAGUCGAGGAGAAGCUUAAUGAACUCCUGGAUGCUGAAGGGGGAAUAAGCAAAAGAAAAGAUGCCCCUAAAGGCUACUUAAAGCUUCUGCUCCUGACUGCUGCAUCAGGUGCAAGUGGUAGUGGUGAAGCAAUUCAGAGCAAUAGAGAUCUUUCAAUGAUCCUUGAUGCUCUUUUGAAGACAAAAUCACGAGUAGUAUUGACCGACAUAAUAAACAAAAAUGGUUUGCGGAUGCUGCAUAAUAUAAUGAAGCAAUACAGAAGUGACUUCAAAAAGAUCCCUAUUCUUCGGAAGCUUCUGAAGGUACUAGAAUACUUGGUAGCAAGAGAGAUACUCACUUCUGAACAUAUUAAUGGAGGUCCUCCUUGCCCCGGAAUGGAAAGUUUGAGAGAGUCCUUACUGUCACUGACGGAGCAUGAUGACAAACAGGUACAUCAAAUUGCCCGAAGUUUUCGAGACAGAUGGUUUCCCAGACCUGUUAGAAAAUUUGGUUACACCGAGAGGGAGGAUGGGAGAUUGGAAGUUUACAGGGGUUCAAACUGCAGUAGGUUUACAGUAUCACACAGUUACCGGCAUGAUCUGGAUUCCAGACCCACAGAAGCGAUUGACUGUGUUAAGCAGUCAAUGCCUACAUCUCUGCCAGAUACUCAUCCUGCAGACAUCUGUUCUGUGGCUUCUACAGGUGGCCAGUCGUCAAGUGGGCAAAAAAAUCGCAAGCGUAAGAGUCGAUGGGAUCAACCUGCAGACACAAACCUAGAUCUGAGAUCCAAGGAGCAGAAGCUUGAAUCAUCAUUGGUGCAGCACUUUGAUUCCAGCCAAUUAAAUAGUGUUGGAGUGGCACCAAUGUUGAUAGACAAGGUAAAUGGUGAUGAUAAGGACUCCUCCCUCUCUGACUUAGUUUGUUGUCGCCAAGAAGAAGAUAUUAAGGCAGACAGUACAGUGCAAGAUGUACCUGAAGAUAUUCCUCCUGGAUUUUCAUCUCCUUUCAAUCCCCCCCUGGCUUCCUCAAGUGCUUUCUCAACAGUUUUAGAUCCUUCUCAACAGAGUACUGGAAAUUUGAGUUGUGCUUUUUCCACAGUUGGGCAUCCACAGGAGAGAUUCAUUUCUCGCUUGCCUGUGUCUUACGGAAUUCCGUUUUCUAUCGUUCAGCAAUAUGGAACAUCCCAUGCAGAGAAUCUGGAGUGUUGGGAUGUUGCUCCUGGAAUGCCUUUUCACCCUUUUCCACCCUUGCCACCAUAUCCUCGAGGUGAGAAAGGCCCACCAAUGUCUGCCUGUGGUACUGCAAUUAGACAAUCAGCUCAACAAGGGCAGGUUAACAGCCAUGAUUCUCGAACUUCUUUCUCAGAAGAAAGCACUCCUAGCACAAGUACUAAUGUCCAACAGGAUUUGUGCAUUCCAUUAAACAACCAACAGAUAUUGAAACGGGUGAAGGAAUCAUCAUAUGAUUUGGGAAGAAGGUACUUUAGGCAGCAAAAGUGGCGUAAUACAAAGUUUGGUCCCCCUUGGUUACAGAGAAGGAGUCAAUGGGGAUACCAGGGAAACUUCAGGAGUGGUUCAAGCGCUAUAAGUGAUGACAAUGUACUAAACGAGGGGAUAAAUCCAUAUUGCUCAGAUGAAGCAAGCGUUAGAGCCGAUAAAGCUAACGAUGAUUUUUAUCAGCAUUCACUAAACCAGAAUCAGCGCUGAGUUGUAGGAAACUGGUGAUCUACUGAAAUUUCAAUAGAACCCAAUGUAUUCUCAGUUCCUUUUUCUUUCCUAGGUUUGAUACUCAAUGGAAAGUUUCUUCAACUUCAGUAUGGUAGUUCUCUUACUUCAGCACUGGUAGUACUAUGCGUGAGGUUGAUCUUGCUUCCAUCAGCAUAUGAGGUUUUGGAUCUUUAUCCAUCAAUCAGCACCUCAAAGAGCUUGGGCCAUCAGGAAGAGUAACAAGAAAAGAGAUGUGUUUAAAUUCUUAAUGGCUGUCGAAUCAGCAGUGGUUUUAAUGGAGGGGGUCAAACGGUUCUAUGAAGAGUACAUAUCUUCUAGUAGAGGUCAGUUCCAGGAGAGAAGCUCAAUAGGGUGGGCCUGGCUUCCCCAGGGAUGUAAUAUUUAAAAAAGGAAAAAAUGCCAAUGUUGACUCUGAAGCAAAUCUAAAACACUUUGUUCUUGGUACAGGUAUAGUUGUUGGGCUUGUAUCGGUGGCAAGGGGUAGAUUAGUGGACCUUAUUCAGUUUCCAUCCUGGAAGUUUGGGAAAACUCAGGAGGAUUGCUGUUGAAAACAAUAUUUAUAAUUGUUUGAAUUGAAUGAUGUCCAGAGUGGAAAUAGAACUGAAAUGAAAUGAAGAACCAUGGGCUUUUACUUGAAUUGGCAGUUGAAUAGUUUUUAGAAGAAAAAACCUUCAGAUUCGAGCAAUGCAUUUGGUUUUGUUUUUGGUUGCAGCCUACCCAGCAAAAGUUUCAGGCUCUGGAGGUUAUCUGUAACAUCCAACUAGAUUGCUUAAGUUGGAUAAUUGCCAUGUUGGUUAAAUUGUUGCUGCAUAAACUCAUGUCUAAAGACUUGAAUCCUAAGUUAUGGGAUCAAGAAAUCUUUAAUAACUAUUUGACCUC